UCGUUCUUAGAAUCUCUGU
rnacentral:snRNA from 1 species